rnacentral:rRNA from 1 species
CAGUCGCCACGGGAAUACGUAGGGUGCGAGCGUUAAUCGGAAUUACUGGGCGUAAAGCGUGCGCAGGCGGUUGUGUAAGACAGGUGUGAAAUCCCCGGGCUUAACCUGGGAACUGCGCUUGUGACUGCACAGCUAGAGUAUGGCAGAGGGGGGUGGAAUUCCACGUGUAGCAGUGAAAUGCGCAGAGAUGUGGAGGAACACCGAUGGCGAAGGCAGCCCCCUGGGCCAAUACUGACGCUCAUGCACGAAAGCGUGGGGAGCAAACAGGAUUAGAUACCCGCGUAGUCCCUGUCUCUUAUAC